rnacentral:rRNA from 1 species
UGGGGAAUUUUGGACAAUGGGCGAAAGCCUGAUCCAGCAAUGCCGCGUGUGUGAAGAAGGCCUUCGGGUUGUAAAGCACUUUUGUCCGGAAAGAAAUCCUCUGGGUUAAUACCUCGGGGGGAUGACGGUACCGGAAGAAUAAGCACCGGCUAACUACGUGCCAGCAGCCGCGGUAAUACGUAGGGUGCAAGCGUUAAUCGGAAUUACUGGGCGUAAAGCGUGCGCAGGCGGUUUUGUAAGACGGAUGUGAAAUCCCCGGGCUUAACCUGGGAACUGCAUUCGUGACUGCAAGGCUAGAGUAUGGCAGAGGGGGGUUAGAAUUCCACGUGUAGCAGUGAAAUGCGUAGAGAUGUGGAGGAAUACCGAUGGCGAAGGCAGCCCCCUGGGCCAAUACUGACGCUCAUGCACGAAAGCGUGGGGAGCAAACAGGAUUAGAUACCCUGGUAGUCCACGCCCUAAACGAUGUCAACUAGUUGUUGGGGAUUCAUUUCCUUAGUAACGUAGCUAACGCGUGAAGUUGACCGCCUGGGGGAGUACGGUCGCAAGAUUAAAACUCAAAUGAAUUGACGGGGUCAUAGCUGUUUCC